rnacentral:rRNA from 1 species
GAGUCAGACUGUGGGUGAUCAGGUUCCUAGUCGAAAGGGAAACAGCCCAGAUCGCCAGCUACGAUCCCUAAAUGUAAGUCCAGCGGCAACGCAUGUGGGCUUGCCCAGACCACCCGGAUGUUGGCUUCGAAGCAGCCACUCAUUCAAAGCGUGCGUAAUAGCUCACUGGUCGAGUGAUCCUGCGCCGAAGAUUUCCGGGGCGAAAACUUACUACCGAAGCUACGGCAUCAGUAAUGGUGGGUAGGGGAGCUUCCCAUACGGGUUGAAGCAUGACCAUAAGGACAUGUGGACAGUAUGGUAGUGAGAAUGUUGGCAUGAGUAGCGAGAUGUGGGUGAGAAUCCCACAGGCAGUAAACCCAAGGUUUCCAGGGGAAGGUUCGUCCGCCUCGGGGUCGGUGGGUCCUAAGCUGCCGUCAACAGGCGGAGGUGUGGGAC